GCUCUCUCACUUGAACCCAGAGCUCCCCAGUUUGGCUAGUCUAGCUACUGAGGUUGCCCUGUGGGACUUCACAUCUCCAUCUCUUGAGUACCGGGAAUUGCAGACUAGCUGGCCUGUAAGAUUCUGCAGGUUCUCCUGUCUCACGGUAAGAGUGCUGAGAUUAUAAAUACUCACUGUUGUAUCUGGCUUAACAUGGGUUUUUGAAGUACUUUCUCCAGACUCCAUAAGGAAUUAAAAAGUUCCAUGUGAUCAGACUUGGCUCAGUGCAUUGAACCACUAGCUUGCUAUACAAAGAUGAGGACCUGGCUUUGGAUCCCCAGAACCUACAGAAAAGCCUAACUAGAGCCCAGUGUGCAGGUGGUUGAAGCAUCCCUGGAACAAGCUGUUAGAUUAGCUCAACAGGUGAGCUUUCUGUGCAAUGAGGGACUGAC
rnacentral:lncRNA from 1 species